UACGUAGGGACCGAGCGUUGUCCGGAAUCAUUGGGCGUAAAGAGCGUGUAGGCGGCCACUUAAGUCCUGCGUGAAAUCUUGCGGCUCAACCGCAAGCGGUCGUGGGAAACUGGGUGGCUAGAGUGCGGGAGAGGAGAGUGGAAUUCCUGGUGUAGCGGUGGAAUGCGCAGAUAUCAGGAGGAACACCUGUGGUGUAGACAGCUUACUGGACCACUUCUGACGCUGAGACACGAAAGCGUGGGUAGCAAACAGG
rnacentral:rRNA from 1 species